rnacentral:rRNA from 1 species
CCUACGGGUGGCAGCAGUGAGGAAUAUUGGUCAAUGGGCGGAAGUCUGAACCAGCCAAGUAGCGUGCAGGAUGACGGCCCUACGGGUUGUAAACUGCUUUUAUACGGGAAUAACGCGCCUUACGUGUAGGGCUUUGCAUGUACCGUAUGAAUAAGGACCGGCUAAUUCCGUGCCAGCAGCCGCGGUAAUACGGAGGGUCCGGGCGUUAUCCGGAUUUAUUGGGGUUAAAGGGAGCGUAGGUGGGUUGUUAAGUGUGCUGUGAAAGGUUCGGGCUCAACCCGGACAUUGCAGUGGGAACUGGCGGGCUUGAGUCCACGGGAGGCAGGCGGAAUUCGUCGUGUAGCGGUGAAAUGCUUAGAUAUGACGAAGAACCCCGAUUGCGAAGGCAGCUUGCUGCAGCGGAACUGACACUGAUGCUCGAAAGCGCGGGUAUCGAACAGGAUUAGAUACCCGGGUAGUC